CCCACCCGCGUGGAGCGCGCGGCCGAGGCCACCAUCAACAUGGGCAGCAAGGUGGUGGCCGGGGUGGCCAUGACCAACCUGCCGGGCGUCGUGGUUUUGGCCUUCGCCAAAGCGCAGCUCAUCCAGAUCUUCUUCUUCCGUCUCAAUUUCAUCAUCACGCUGGUGGGCCUCGCUCACGGCCUCGUCUUCCUGCCCGUCCUGCUCAGCUACAUGGGUCCCGCACCGCUCAGCGUGGAGGGCACCAAAGAUGGCAUGGAGGGCAUCAAAGAUGACGUGGAGGGCACCAGAUCCGGUACUGAAGACACCAGAUCCGGCACAGGGGGCACUGGAUUUGGCACGGGGGGCACCAGGUUUGGCACAGAGGGCACCACAGUUGACGUUGGUGACACCAAACCCGGUGGCACGGAGGGCACCAAGGCCGGCGCGGUGUGGGGCGCAGCCUUCGCCAACCCCAGCUUUGAGGACGCGGCGCAGUGCUGACGCCGCUGCCCCCACGGCCCUUUUCUGUGCUGCUGUAUUUAAAGAGGUUUUCUCAGAGAUGAUGGGUUUGUGGGGGUUUUGGGGGGUUUUGUGUCUGAUUACCUGGGCGUGGGCACCGUGGGGCCACCAUGUGGGUACUGGGAUGGACAGCUUGGGGACAAAGCUGUGUGGGACACACGGACGGACAUCCUGACACACGGACAUGUUGGGGACAAAAGCACAUGGGACCCAUAAAAGGACAGCGUGGGGACAGGGACACGGGGGACACUGGAUGGCAUCCUGGGGACAAAGCUGUGUGGACACCUAUGGGCAUCUUGGGGACGGGGACACACAGACACCUUGGGGACAAGGUAGUGUGGGACCCAUAAAAGGACAUCUUGGGGACAGGGACACAGGGACACAUGGAUGGCAUCCUGGGGACAGGAUGACAUGGGACACGUAGGGCACAUGGAUGGACACCUUGGGGACAAAGCUGUGUGGGACACACGGACACCCUGGGGACAGGAGCAUGUGGGACACACGGACGGACGUCUCGGGGAUGGGGACACAUUGGGGACAUGGAUGGACGUCCUGGGGACAGGGACACACAGACACCUUGGGGACAAGGCAGUAUUGGGACCCAUAGAGGGACACCUUGGGGACAGGGACACAGAGGACACACGGACACCUUGGGGACAAAGCUGUGUGGGACCCAGAGAGGGACACCUUGGGGACAGGGACACAGAGGACACACGGACACCUUGGGGACAAAGCUGUGUGGGAAACAUGGACAUCUUGGGACAGGAUGACAUGGGACACGUGGGCAUCAUGGGGACAGGGACACGCGGGACACAUGGAUGGAUGUCUUGGGGACAGGGACAUGUGGGACACAUGGAUGGACAUCUUGGGGACGGGGGCACACAGACACCUUGGGGACAAGGCAGUGUGGGACCCAUAGAGGGACAUCUUGGGGACAGGGACACGUGGGACACAUGGAUGGAUGUCUUGGGGACAGGGACACGUGGGACACAUGGAUGGAUGUCUUGGGGACAGGGACACGGGGGACACUGGAUGGCAUCCUGGGGACAAAGCUGUGUGGACACCUAUGGGCAUCUUGGGGACGGGGACACACAGACACCUUGGGGACAAGGCAGUGUGGGACCCAUAAAAGGACAUCUUGGGGACAGGGACACGGGGACACGUGGAUGGCAUCCUGGGGACAGGAUGACAUGGGACACGUAGGGCACAUGGAUGGACAUCUUGGGGACAAAGCUGUGUAGGACACACGGACACCUUGGGGGCAGGAGCAUGUGGGACACACGGACGGACGUCUUGGGAUGGGGACACAUUGGGGACAUGGAUGGACAUCCUGGGGACAGGGACACACGGACACCUUGGGGACAAAACCACAUGAGACCCAUAGAGGGACACCUUGGGGACAGGGACACAGAGGACACACGGACACCUUGGGGACAAAGCUGUGUGGGACACAUGGACACCUUGGGACAGGAUGACAUGGGACACGUGGGCAUCAUGGGGACAGGGACAUGUGGGACACACGGACACCUUGGGGACACACGGAUGGACGUCCUGGGACCAGGACCCCAAAGGACGCACAUCACAUCUGCAGUGGGAUGGGAUCCUGUGAGCCCACGGGGUGAAUGGGGACGGUGGGGGGGGACCCCAUGGGACUGAGACCCCAAAGGGCACCGACCCCAGUGGGGAUGGGAUCCUAUGGGAUCAGGACCCCAAAGCUGUAAGGGAACGGCAGGGGUGGGUCUCUAUGGGAUCAGGACCCCAAAGGGCUCAAUGGGGUCAGGUCCAUAUGGGAUUGAGACCCCACAGGACAUAUGGGAAUGGCAGGGAUGGGUCUCCAUGGGAUCGAGACCCCAAAGGGAAAACAUCCACAGUGGGGAUGGGAUCCUAUGAGAUCAGGACCCCAUGGGGCAAAUGGGAUGACAGGGAUGGGUCUCUAUGGGAUUGAGACCCCACAGGACAUAUGGGAACAGCGGGGAUGGGUCUCCAUGGGAUUGAGACCCCAAGUGGCUCAGUGGGGUCAGGUCCAUAUGGGAUGAAGACCCCACAGGACAUAUGGGAACAGCGGGGAUGGGUCUCCAUGGGAUCAGGACCCCAAAGGGCUCAAUGGGGUCAGGUCCAUAUGGGAUGAAGACCCCACAGGACAUAUGGGAACGGUGGGGGUGGGUCUCCACGGGAUUGAGACCCCAAAGGGAAAACAUCCACAGUGGGGAUGGGAUCCUAUGGGAUCAGGACCCCAAGGCUGAAAGGGAACGGCAGGGAUGGGUCUCUAUGGGAUCAGGACCCCAAGUGGCUCAGUGGGGUCAGGUCCAUAUGGGAUGAAGACCCCACAGGACAUAUGGGAACGGCGGGGAUAGGUCU
ensembl:lncRNA